rnacentral:rRNA from 1 species
AAUGAACGUUGGCGGCGUGGAUUAGGCAUGCAAGUCGAGCGAGAACCGGUUUCGGCCGGGGACAGCGGCGAACGGCGUAGUAAUGCAUCGGAACGUACCCUCUGGUCGGGGAUAGCUGCGGGAAACUGUAGGUAAUACCCGAUGAUCUCUGCGGAGCAAAGGUGAGAUUCCGCCGGAGGAGCGGCUGAUGUGAUAUUAGCUAGUUGGUGGGGUAAUGGCCUACCAAGGCGAUGAUGUCUAGGGGGUGUGAGAGCAUGGCCCCCACGACCGGAACUGGGAUACUGUCCGGACACCUACGGGUGGCUGCAGUCGAGAAUCUUCCGCAAUGGACGAAAGUCUGACGGAGCGACGCCGCGUGCGGGAUGAAGGCCCUUGGGUUGUAAACCGCUGUCAGAGGGGAUGAAAUCUUCGGAGGUACUCCUCCGAAGUUGACAGAGCCUCAAAGGAAGCACGGGCUAAGUACGUGCCAGCCGCCGCCGUAACAC